rnacentral:rRNA from 1 species
UACGGGGGGAGCAAGCGUUGUUCGGAUUUACUGGGCGUAAAGGGCGCGUAGGCGGUCGUGACAAUUCACUGUUGAAAUCUCCGGGCUUAACUCGGAACGGUCAAGUGAUACUGUCGGACUAGAGUACAGAAGGGGCAACUGGAAUUCUCGGUGUAGCGGUGAAAUGCGUAGAUAUCGAGAGGAACACCGGCGGCGAAGGCGGGUUGCUGGGCUGAUACUGACGCUGAGGCGCGAAAGCCAGGGGAGCGAACGGG